rnacentral:rRNA from 1 species
GACGAACGCUGGCGGCGUACCUAAUACAUGCAAGUCGAGCGGACUUUCAAGAAGCUUGCUUUUUGAAAGUUAGCGGCGGACGGGUGAGUAACACGUGGGCAACCUGCCUGUAAGACGGGGAUAACUCCGGGAAACCGGGGCUAAUACCGGAUAAUAUCUUUCUUCGCAUGAAGGAAGGUUGAAAGGCGGCGCAAGCUGCCGCUUGCAGAUGGGCCCGCGGCGCAUUAGCUAGUUGGUGAGGUAACGGCUCACCAAGGCGACGAUGCGUAGCCGACCUGAGAGGGUGCUCGGCCACACUGGGGCUGAGACACGGCCCAGACUCCUACGGGAGGUAGCAGUAGGGAAUCUUCCGCAAUGGACGAAAGUCUGACGGAGCAACGCCGCGUGAGCGAAGAAGGUCUUCGGAUCGUAAAGCUCUGUUGUCAGGGAAGAACAAGUACCGUUCGAAUAGGGCGGUACCUUGACGGUACCUGACCAGAAAGCCACGGCUAACUACGUGCCAGCCGCCGCAGUAA